UUCGAAUUUAUACCUUUCUUUUUUUCUUGUCUGAAUGGGUCCUAAACUUCUAAUAUUUUUCAUAUAAAAAGGACAGAGAUUGUAGAUUUGGAGGUUCCUAUAGAAGAUACUUCGGUAACAUCAGCAUUUGCUGCAACUCAAGCACAUGGUAUGUAUAUUAAGAUGACAAAAAUGGUGCAGCCACUACUUAGUUAGUUUUUAGCUUUAUAUAUAAUAGUUUAGCAACUUUGGGUAACUUGAGUACGACACUAUCACUAAUAGUGAAAAUGUUUCUAUGA